rnacentral:rRNA from 1 species
GAUGAACGCCGGCGGCGUGCCUAAUACAUGCAAGUCGAGCGAACGGACGAGAAGCUUGCUUCUCUGAUGUUAGCGGCGGACGGGUGAGUAACACGUGGAUAACCUACCUAUAAGACUGGGAUAACUUCGGGAAACCGGAACUAAUACCGGAUGAUAUUUUGAACCGCAUGGUUCAAAAGUGAAAGACGGUCUUGCUGUCACUUAUAGAUGGAUCCGCGCUGCAUUAGCUAGUUGGUAAGGUAACGGCUUACCAAGGCAACGAUGCAUAGCCGACCUGAGAGGGUGAUCGGCCACACUGGAACUGAGACACGGUCCAGACUCCUACGGGAGGCAGCAGUAGGGAAUCUUCCGCAAUGGGCGAAAGCCUGACGGAGCAACGCCGCGUGAGUGAUGAAGGUCUUCGGAUCGUAAAACUCUGUUAUUAGGGAAGAACAUAUGUGUAAGUAACUGUGCACAUCUUGACGGUACCUAAUCAGAAAGCCACGGCUAACUACGUG